CGACAUGUUUUAUGGGAUUAUAGAGCAGAGAAAUGGAGAACGUUAGUCUCUAGUAUAUUGAACAUGGCUCUCCAUUGUGCUUAUCUGACUGGUGAUUUAGAAGAAUACGUGACUCUUGGCUUAGAAUUUACGGGGAAUUGGAUUCAAGCAAGUUUAGAAGAAAAACAAUAAUUCAGACAAGUAUUAGUAAUAUUUUAUCGGGUAAAUGCCCAAGGUCGUUUCCUAGUACUGCCGAAGAGGAUAUCAAUUUGGCAGAUAAACUGUGGCAGACGGCAUUAGCAGAAUCAAAUUUUCCUCAUAUUUUUCCUAUUCAAAUGAGUUCUAUUAUUCCUUU